GGUGGGGUAAAGGCCUACCAAGGGCGACGAUCAGUAGCUGGUCUGAGAGGACGACCAGCCACACUGGGACUGAGACACGGCCCAGACUCCUACGGGAGGCAGCAGUGGGGAAUUUUGGACAAUGGGCGAAAGCCUGAUCCAGCAAUGCCGCGUGUGUGAAGAAGGCCUUCGGGUUGUAAAGCACUUUUGUCCGGAAAGAAAUCCUUGGUCCUAAUAUGGCCGGGGGAUGACGGUACCGGAAGAAUAAGCACCGGCUAACUACGUGCCAGCAGCCGCGGUAAUACGUAGGGUGCAAGCGUUAAUCGGAAUUACUGGGCGUAAAGCGUGCGCAGGCGGUUUGCUAAGACCGAUGUGAAAUCCCCGGGCUCAACCUGGGAACUGCAUUGGUGACUGGCAGGCUAGAGUAUGGCAGAGGGGGGUAGAAUUCCACGUGUAGCAGUGAAAUGCGUAGAGAUGUGGAGGAAUACCGAUGGCGAAGGCAGCCCCCUGGGCCAAUG
rnacentral:rRNA from 1 species